AGAGUGAACGCUGGCGGCAGGCCUAACACAUGCAAGUCGAACGGCAGCACAGAGGAGCUUGCUCCUUGGGUGGCGAGUGGCGGACGGGUGAGGAAUACGUCGGAAUCUGCCUAUUUGUGGGGGAUAACGUAGGGAAACUUACGCUAAUACCGCAUACGACCUACGGGUGAAAGCGGAGGACCUUCGGGCUUCGCGCAGAUAGAUGAGCCGACGUCGGAUUAGCUAGUUGGCGGGUAAAGCCCACAAGGCGACGAUCCGUAGC
rnacentral:rRNA from 1 species